UACCAUAAGGUGGGUACAUAAGUAGGU
rnacentral:sRNA from 1 species